rnacentral:SRP_RNA from 1 species
GCUGGGCGUGGUGGCGGGCGCCUGUAAUCCCAGCUACUCAGGAGGCUGAGGCAGGAGAAUCACUUGAACCCGGGAGACGGAGGUCGCAGUGAGCCCAGAUCACACCACUGCAGUCCAGCCUGGGCUACAGAGUGAGACUCUGUCUCAA